UGGGGAAUAUUGCACAAUGGGCGAAAGCCUGAUGCAGCAACGCCGCGUGAGUGAUGAAGGCCUUCGGGUUGUAAAGCUCUGUCUUUGGGGACGAUAAUGACGGUACCCAAGGAGGAAGCCACGGCUAACUACGUGCCAGCAGCCGCGGUAAUACGUAGGUGGCAAGCGUUGUCCGGAUUUACUGGGCGUAAAGGAUGCGUAGGCGGAUAUUUAAGUGGGAUGUGAAAUACUCGGGCUUAACCUGGGUGCUGCAUUCCAAACUGGAUAUCGAGAGUGCAGGAGAGGAGAGUACAAUUCCUAGUGUAGCGGUGAAAUGCGUAGAGAUUAGGAAGAAUACCAGUGGCGAAGGCGACUUUCUGGACUGUAACUGACUCUGAGGCUCGAAAGCGUGGGGAGCAAACA
rnacentral:rRNA from 1 species